CCUACGGGAGGCAGCAGUGGGGGAUAUUGCACAAUGGGGGAAACCCUGAUGCAGCGACGCCGCGUGGGUGAAGGAGCGUUUCGGCGCGUAAAGCCCUAUCGGCAGGGAAGAAGGAGGACGGUACCUGACUAAGAAGCACCGGCUAACUACGUGCCAGCAGCCGCGGUAAUACGUAGGGGGGAAGCGUUAUCCGGAGAUACUGGGUGUAAAGGGGGCGCAGACGGCAGUGCAAGCCAGGAGUGAAAGCCCAGGGCCCAACCGCGGGACGGCUCGUGAAACUGCGCGGCUGGAGUGCAGGAGGGGCAGGCAGAAUUCCUGGUGUAGCGGUGAAAUGCGUAGAUAUCAGGAGGAACACCGGUGGCGAAGGCGGCCUGCUGGACUGCGACUGACGUUGAGGCCCGAAAGCGUGGGGAGCAAACAGGAUUAGAUACCCCUGUAGUC
rnacentral:rRNA from 1 species